rnacentral:pre_miRNA from 1 species
AUUCUACUCCCUCCGUUGCACAAUACAUGCCUUCUAUUUGUCAAAAUAUAUAUGUAUCUACACAUGUUUUAGUAUAUAGGUACAUCCAUUUUUGGACAAAUGGAAGUCAAGUAUUUUGGAACGGAGGGAGUACACA